AUGAACGCUAGCGGCAGGCUUAACACAUGCAAGUCGAGGGGCAACGCGAGUAGCAAUACUUGGCGGCGACCGGCGCAAGGGUGCGUAACGCGUGAGCAACAUGCCCGUAUCAGGGGGAUAAUCCAGGGAAACUUGGUCUAAUACCCCAUAGUAAUUUUGUAAGGCAUCUUAUAAGAUUUAAAGCUUUGGUGGAUACGGAUUGGCUCGCGUGACAUUAGCUGGAUGGUAAGGUAACGGCUUACCAUGGCUAUGAUGUCUAGGGGUUCUGAGAGGAAGGUCCCCCACACUGGAACUGAGACACGGUCCAGACUCCUACGGGAGGCAGCAGUGAGGAAUAUUGGACAAUGGAUGGAAAUCUGAUCCAGCCAUGCCGCGUGAAGGAAGAAGGUCCUAUGGAUUGUAAACUUCUUUUGUAUGGGAGCAAUAAGGCCUACGAGUAGGUUGAUGAGAGUACCAUACGAAUAAGCACCGGCUAACUCCGUGCCAGCCGCAGC
rnacentral:rRNA from 1 species